CGCACUCCAUUUCAUAGCCCCUCACCCUCAUGAUGUCCUAAAGAAAAAAUUCAAGCAAUUAAGCUCUGGAAACAAUAAAUUUAUCAUCAUAAGUAUAAUUAUUUACUUGAAUGGAAAUUUAUGGAGCAUAGUUUUCUUUUGUCAAACCUUCUUUAAUAGCCUCUGGGAUCUGUCUUUUUCCAAUCAAUACCCUAACACCCUCCGGAAUCGAAUAUGCAGGAAGCCUUGUGUUGAAGCUCUGGGAGGACGCAACCCUGAAACAAAAUCAUGUGGAGAAACUAAAUUCGACCACGGCUUCUUUCUCUUUUCUCUCUUACCCAUCUUGUCAGAAGCCAAAGAGUGUGUGAGUUGGUCUCAUCAUCCAUUGUAAAAUGCACGGCCGAUGUGUGCAGCCCAAUUUCCUUAGGCCUGCACACGACAACCAAAUUGUUAAACUUUGACCUGGCCGCAGCACUCUGUCC
rnacentral:lncRNA from 1 species